AGAAAAACACCAGUAGAAGACGUAGCGGAGGAGAAAGGGGCAGAAGAAGAGGAAUAAUACAUUAUUGGAUCUGAACCCAGGGUGGGAAAAGCAUGCUUGGUUGGUCUGAUCCGAAGGAGACACUCUGCUCUGCUUGGAAGCAUUACCUUCAGGAGAACAACAGGAAUUUUGUGGGCCCUGUUUUGCUGCUGGAAUCCUUUGAGGGAGCAAGCAUUCAUGUUCACAUGCUAUUUGUCGUUUCAAAAUUAUUUAAGAAACCACCACAGGGAAUUUUUCCCCCAGUGACCUUUGGCAGAGGAGCUGAUUGGUGUGCCCCAGCUGCAGACCAUCAUUUUCCUGGGAAAGUUUUAAGACUGUCAGAAAAAUGACAAUAUUCUUUCCUAGCCCUUACUGACAUGUAUGGGCUUUGCUGGUCUUUCCAACUCCAGUUUGGGAGGGGUUGUUUGUUUUCCUUUUAAAUGUUAUCCUGCCAUCCUCCUUUUUUAACAAUGCUGUAUAUACAUGAAGACUUGCUGUGUAUUCAGUGUGGCACAUGGAUGGAGUCGAUGCUUUGAACUACUUUUGCAACAAUGGAUUAUGCUUGACUGAUAAUGAAACCAUGGGAUAGACCUCAGGGAGUAAAGAGAUGAGGGAUCCUGAGACCACUGUGCCAUGUGGGACAACAACUGAAUGUGUCAAAGAAUGUGAACAUGAGUCUUAUCACAAGUAAUGCUGGUUGAAGUUGAAGAGGCUGAAAAAUUCUCCUCUGCAUCAUGCAGUCCACUGUUACAUGUUCUUUCCUCGGAGCUGAUGUCAAAGUUUGUUCGUAACAGAAUCAUUGUAUCAUUAAAGAAUUAAGGCUCCAUUGCUUCAGCUUGCAAAGAAGCUUCUCCAAAGCAUGAAAUACCAAAAGGAAAAGCCUCUGGCCAAGUUCUACCAUGGAUACACAGAAUUCAGUGGUGUCUGCCUCCAACCAGGUGAAAGAAAGAGCCAGUCAUCAUCCGUCUAAGGCAUCCCUCUGUGCAGGACCU